UAUUUCUACCAAUAUAUUCACCCUCAUAAUCUCCAACUAUAAUAUUGCGCCCUCACAACUUUCAGCACACAAUUACCCUCAUUCCAAUCACUGGAAUUCUUCACACAGAAUUGCUAUUCACAUUACUGUGUUUCACACAAACAUAGACUCAUUCUCUUUGCUGAACUACAAUUAGAUUUCAACAUUCAAUCUUUCUUCUUCUCAAAUAAUACCAAUCACAUUUCCAUUCCAUAAUUCACUUCACAAUAUUCAAAAACUCUCAAUCCUCUUAUUCAAAGAAAAUAACAAACAAAAGAAAAGACGUAGCACCAAGCUUACCUUAGCUCAGUACUAUCACAGUCUGGCAAUUUCUUCCCCUCUCCUAUCCUCCGUAUACUACCUCGAGAUAUCAAUUCCUAUACUACAGAUGAUAACUACUUUUCCUGACUAUUCAUCCAUUCUACUUGUUGAACCACCUUUUCAGUAGUUAUCUAUCCCUGCUUACACUAUACACUAGGUAUCUAUAUUCUAAAAAUAACUACUUAUU
rnacentral:lncRNA from 1 species